UAGCCAAACUAGUAUUAAAGGUAACGCCUGCCCAGUGAGACUUAAACGGCCGCGGUAUCCUAACCGUGCAAAGGUAGCGUAAUCACUUGUCCUCUAAAUAAGGACUAGUAUGAACGGCUAAAUGAGGGAUCCCCUGUCUCCUUUAACCAAUCAGUGAAACUGAUCUCCCAGUACAAAAGCUGGGAUAACCAUAUAAGACGAGAAGACCCUGUGGAGCUUCAAAUUAUGGCCAACAACAACUACCUCCACCACGCCCUGGCCUUUAAUUUCAGUUGGGGCGACUUCGGAAAACAAACAAACUUCCGAGCAAGUAGACCUUAAUCUUGCCUAGACCCACAAGUCUAAAUUCACUGACCCAGUAGCACUGAUCAACGAACCAAGUUACCCCAGGGAUAACAGCGCAAUCUUCUUCAAGAGUCCCUAUCGACAAGAAGGUUUACGACCUCGAUGUUGGAUCAGGACACCCAAUUGGUGCAGCCGCUAUUAAAGGUUCGUUUGUUCAACGAUUAACAGUCCU
rnacentral:rRNA from 1 species